rnacentral:lncRNA from 1 species
UGUCAACCUGUUGGGAAAUUAUAGCUGCUCCUCCUGCCAGAUCAGUCAGCUGAGAUGGAAACAUCAAUCUGAGAAGAUGUGCACUUUCUGUCGCAUGAGAAAAAAACAGAGAGGUGACAUGAUUGUCACAGAGGAAUCGUGGAGGACCACAAGGUUUAGAAGAUGGCUCAAUAUUCCAACCUUGCAAUUCUCAGAGAAAGUAAUGAGGUUAGUGUUAUCCUGAUGAACUCUCCCAGGCCACUGCAUGUGAGACCUUCCAUUUGGUAUGUUCUAUUUUAUAGAGACUCUUCAGAAGUUCUGAAGUUCUUGGAUUAAAUUAUAUUUCAUUCAUCACACCUAACAUAUUUAUUUGUCUCUUUUGAAAAUAAAUGUUUUCACAUUCCAUGUAAUUUCUCA